AGCCUGCUUCUCCCUCUGCCUGUGUCUGCCUCUCUCUCUCUCUCUCUGUGUGACUAUCAUAAAUAAAUAAAAAAUUUAAAAAUUAAAUUAAAUUAAAAAAAAACAAACCUAGAAAUACCUUUUACAACUAAGAUUAUAAAUUCACUCAUUUUUUCUUCUAGAACAUUUCCAUAGGUUUCAUUUUAUUUUUACAGGCAAUUCUUUCAUCCAUCUAGAAUUGACUUUAAUGUGAGAAUGUAUGCUAGGUAUUGUCUCUUAGCACUUGGCAUUAGGUCUCAUGCCUCCCCAUCUCAUACCACAGGGGAUGAAAGGCUAAAAAUGCAGUUUUGCAGACUUAAAGAUAGCAGGGUUCCGGACAGUUUAGGUUCUGCCAAUGAUUUGCAUUUCGUCAAGAUUUAGAAGGUGGAGAUUAUGUACCAUGACUGUACUAGUGGGACAAGCAAGCUUCUGCCACCAACAGCACUGGCUUCCUGUUCCCUGGAUCACAGAAGAUGAUAGAACCUUGAGUCUAAAAGUAUGUUGGCCCCCAGUUUCUGCCCCUUCAGCUUUUUCUUUGAUUUUUCAAAAAAUUAUUUAUUUGUUUGUUUGUUUAUUUAUUUAUUUAUUUGAGAGAGCACAAGCAAGCGGGGAGAUGGUGGUGGAGGAGAGAGCAAGGGAGAAGCAGGCACCUCCUGAAUGCAGAGCUCAACACAGAGCUCAGUCUCAAGACCCCAAAAUCAUGACCUCAGCAGAAGGCAGACAGACGUUUAACCGACUGAGCCAUCCAGGCGCCUCUUUCCUCUGAUUUUUAAGGAUCUGUAUUCUAUUCUUUGAAAUACCUUGUGGAAUUUCUGUUCUAUGUGAACCCUGACACAAGCAGUAUGUAACAGGAAUCCAGCUUUCUUCCUAAACAGUCAGGCACUAUUAUUAUCAUCUCCAUUUGAAAGCUGAGAAAACUGGAGCACAUGAUGUCAUGUCACCUGGGCGUGCAUGUUGGUACACAGCUCUCUUCGUGCAUGGAACAUGGGAACGGUUCACUGCCAGUGAAAGGCAGAGUUAGAAGACAGAUCUGUCAGAAUUUGCACAAAGACGGGAGGAGACGCCCAAGGCUACAUAAUUGGUAAAUAUAAAAUAACCUUUGUAAAUCAGAACCUGGCACAUUAUUUUAAAAAAAGAUGAGCGAGAGAGUGCCAGCGAGCGAGCGAGUACGAACAGGGUGGGAGAGAGCAGCAGACUCCCUGCUGAGCAGAGGCCCACACAGGGCUCAGGAUCAGGACCCUGGGCUCUUGACCUGAGCUGAAGGUGGACACUUCCCACUGAGCCAUCCAGGCACCCAGGGCCUAGCACUCCCAGAACUUCUUAAGGACAUGGCUCUGUUUCUGGUUCUUGGAUUAAACACAUUGCAGUGAUUGUUCAUAAUGACCCUCAGUCAUCAAGGAAGUGUAAAAUUACAUUUAGAAUAUAGUUUAAUAAAGCAGAGAUGGGCUAUAUUUUUAAAUACAUGAUUACAAUAGUUAAGUUUCUACAAAGGUUAAUUGAGGCUUUAAGAACAUUCAUUUAUGGUGGUCCUUUCUAACCUGGGCUCCAUGGAUUUGCUCUAGGUGUCCCUGAACUUUUAAAAAUUGUGUGCAGGGGAUCCCUGGGUGGCGCAGUGGUUUGGCGCCUGCCUUUGGCCCAGGGCGCGAUCCUGGAGACCCGGGAUCGAAUCCCACGUCGGGCUCCCGGUGCAUGGAG